AUGCGGCAUGAGCCAUCUGACGGCGAUCUCGCUAGUUAUCCUCGUCCUGCUCUUCAUGCCGUGUGUAAUGGCAGUUCGCCGUUGCCAACUUCGAUGCCACCUAGAGUCAGCACCAGCCAUUGUUGGAAGGAUUUGUUUGAGUGUCAGAGAGCACCGCCUUCAACGGCCAAGCCCACGACCCUUACAGCAACAUCUCCGAUGUCUAUGUCCUCAAGUGGAACGUCGACAAAAUCGGUUGGACGACCUACGUCUACAACCCUGGCUACAACAAUGAGAUGUAGAUGUGCAGGGCGUCCAAACUCUGCCCAGAAACUGACACGAUGCACAUGUACUUGA
rnacentral:rRNA from 1 species